GAGAAUAUAGUUUAAUGGUCAAAUUCUUCAGUGUCAUUGAAGACGAUGCGGGUUCGAAUCCCGUUGUUCUCG
rfam:Microbotryum lychnidis-dioicae p1A1 Lamole unplaced genomic scaffold supercont1.89, whole genome shotgun sequence.